UAUACUAACGGAGGGUUACCUACGUCAUCUACUUUGUAAAACGUAUUUGAGAGGUUCGGGUUACCAAACCUCUUUGUAUCAAAACCGUGCCACGUGCAACAUAAGUCAUAUAUUGUCUUAUUUCUACAUAUUUAAACACUUCUGAGAGGUAUUGUUGCUGAUUUGGAGCUGUUGCAGGCUCUGCUGUUUUAUGAAGGAGGGGUGCUUGUCCAGUGGCCUGCUGUUGCUGCUGCAGGCCAUGCUACUAUAUUUGCUGCUUCGCACUGCUUUUAUAAAUUUUAUAAUCUUUAUGAUGAGUUUUAUUAAUGUGACGGUCUUGGUGGAACGAACCCCGUACACACGAGAACCCCGUGACAACAUACGUAACAUCACUGAAAGCGGUGUCCCGGUCCACACCACAGUGGUGUCACAUCGUCGUCGUUUCCCAUCCGAUUUUACACAGGUAUUCUCCAAAACAACCAUGACCUGCGUAAGUGGGAAGGGAAGGUGACUCAUCGCUUUCGUAUCAUCCUCUUCGAAGGCUGGUAGGACCGCUCCAACGCGUUUGCGUGCGUACCGUUCUUCGCAGAGACGGUCACGUCACGUCGCAAGAGCCCUCCAGUGUUCCUGCCGCUUCUUUGUCUUGUGCGCACUCAGUGGGGGUCAGUAUCAGUCCAGAGUAAGGAAGUUUCCGCUGUUAUACGCCCGAGCCUAUUAAAACAUGUAAAUCCCUUGGUCUUGUGCCUUCUCUGCGGUCGUGUCACAUUGUUGCCCCAUCGAAUUAUGAGAGUGAUGUAAUACAGAUGUGCACUAUAAUAUUAUAUAAGUCGAGAUGGCCCAGUGGUAAGAACGCGUGAAUCUUUACCGAUGAACGUGGGUUCAAACCCGGGCAAGCACCUCUGAAUUUACAUGUGCUUAAUUUCUGUUUAUAAUUGAUCUCGUGCUUUUCGGUGAAGGAAAACAUCGUGAGGAAACAUGCAUGUGUCUAAUUUCAUCGAAAUUCUGCCACAUGUGUAUUCUACCAACCCGCACUGGAGCAGCGUGGUGGAAUAAGCUCCAAACAUUUACAGGCUGUUACUGUUACUGUACUAUAAUAUUUCCAGAAUUAAUUUACGUAAAUAUCAAUAAGACAAUAUGAGACAAUUUUAU